AGCACAAAGUCCUAGUAUGAUGAAGCUGCGAACGGCUCAUUACAACAGUUAUAAUCUUUUUGAUGAAGUACGUACAAGGAUAUCUUUGAGAAUGUCAAAGCUAAUACUUGACGGUUUUCACCCCUUGUCGAGUCCAUUCCCUCUGGGAGUGUAAUCGAUGAGGGCGGGGGAUGCUUCACGUAUCCUCUACAUAUUACCACUUUUUUUGAAUGAGGGUGGAAUAUAUGCCAAGAGAAUUGUAGAAAUCGAGAGAUUUUCACAAGUCAUCAUUAAGAAUAUCUGACCUAUCAACUGGUUGUUGGUAAGGUAGUGGCUUACCAAGGUGAUAACGGGUAACGAGGAAUAAGGGUUCGACAUCGGAGAGGGAGCUUUAGAGAUGGCUACCACUUCUAAGGAAGGCAGCAGGCGCGAAAAUUACCCAAUCUUAACAAAUGAAGGAGGUAGUGACGACAAUUAACGCUAUCCUCGUCUUUUGGCGAGGAUCGUCGGAAUGAUUUCGAUUUAAAAUAUCGAAAGAAAGCAAUUGGAGGGCAAGUCUGGUGCCAGCAGCCGCGGUAAUUCCAGCUCCAAUA
rnacentral:rRNA from 1 species